GGAUGUGAGGGUAAUCUGGCUGGCUAGGCGGGUGUCCACUUCCUCCCUCACCACUCCAUGUGCGUCCCUCCCGAAGCUGCAUGCUCAGUCAGAGAGGACGACACCCUCAACAGAGGAGGACCAUUUCCUCGGUCAAGGGUUUCCAAGUAGCUGUGCUACCCUGCUGGAACCUCCACACAUGCUCUCAAGAACAUGGGGACCUGAAGAUUAAUGGAUCCACUUUAAGGAUUCAAUAUACGUUCUCCUCAAUGGGAACAUCAU
ensembl:misc_RNA 7SK 7SK RNA